AUGCAUCAUUUUUCCUUCCCUAGUUCUUAUGCUUAUAAUACUUUGUUACCAUAAUUAAUGCUGCUUACUUUACAUUUCAGUGAGGUAAAUGCAAUGACAUUUUCAAGUGGUUGAAGUAAAACAGUAACUGCUAUCUCUGUGAUCAGAAGUCAUCCCUAUUGAGGCUAGUUCAAAAUUCAAUCCUGUGGCUAUCCAUGCAUAUGAGAGAUGUGAUAGACUAUUUGGGAAUACUUUGAAAUACUUGACUGUUUUGGAAAUAAAAAGUUUCAUUUGCCACAAAGUACCACAGCACAAAUGUAGGUAAAUAAUAAAAAAUCAUAAAUGUGAUUGCUUACAUAGCUAUUUCAAUUGUACCAUCAAGUUUAAAGAAUCACAUGACUUCAGCGAUCAUUCACACAACAAAUAAUAAUCAAAACAAUCAUAACAUGGUUAGCAAGUGCUCAUUGACUUCUUGGUAAAAAGUAACUAUAUUCAUAGAGAAUAACUCUAGCAGCAAAAAAAAAUAAAAAUGUUUCAAACACUAAGAUAUGGAAUGAGUAUCUACGUGAGUUCAAAUGUCAGGAGAAAAUGUGAAAAGAAAGUGAGAGAGACCCAGAUUCAGCCUUGAAGAAUCAUGUAUGGAGCACCUGUCACUAAAUGCUGUCAGCUCAAUUGGAGAAAAGUUCAAAUGAUCUUGGUGGAGUUAAUAAUCACAAACAAGAAUUCAUAUCCAUAUCUGAAAGAGAACAACCUCCUAGACAGUAACAUAACUGUGUUUUGUUACUUAUUCUGACAGCAGGAAAGAAUUAACAAAAUGCAGAUUUGAAGGAGGUAAAAUACACACAGUACGCAUAGAGAUCUGUUGAUAUAUGGAAGGCACUCAGAAAAGAAAAUAUAUUCAUGCAGUACACCUAACCACUAGCAAUAAAAGUCUCUCAGGAGGUGUGUGUAAAUCUCCUUAUUACUGGAAGUCUAAAAUAAGAGGAAAGAGGGGGAGCGAGUUACCUUUUUUUCUUUCACACCCUUUCCCAGAACACCUGGCAAUGCCCAUAGGGACUCAGAUGAGAAGGCAGCUGGACCAGAAGUAAACAGAAGCACAAAACCACGGAAUUGUAGUGACACUGUCAUCACUGAAUUUCAGCAGAAGUGUGGCGCAUCCCAGGAUAGAUUCCACCACAGUGGAAGCACAGCCCUCAGGAUUCCCUAGGGUUACUCUUGAACACGUGGAACCCAGGCUUCAGCUCUUCCUGUUGGUAAGUAUUGCUUAGCAUUGAGCAUUUGUUCAUUUCUUGAUUGCACAAAGG
rnacentral:lncRNA from 1 species